AACACAAAACUCUAAUGUUCCUGACAAAGGGCCGUGAAGGGUCGGAGCACCUUCUGGGAUUAGCCGGCUAAACACAGGAGCCACGGCUCUGCCACACAGACCAGUUCAGUUCAAGACAAACGCACCAGGAAUCAGAAAUGCGAUGUGUCUGCCCACCGAUUUUCGGGAGAAGGCCUCAUAUAUAUUUUUUAUUCAUAGAUCUUAUCCUCAAUGGCACCUCUUACUACACAAAAGGCAAGAAAAGGUGAAGACUUCACUCCAGUGGACAAACCAACGAUCCUACUUUGGUAAUGCAAAGGCAGCUUGGACACGUCUAAAGAACUAUGUCAGUUUUGGUGCCACAUCCGAGGAGGAGGGCUGCGGAGCUGGGCUUGGCUAGAAAAACCGAUGGUGAACAUUCUGGAAAGCAUGCUGUGGAAACUGGGAAACAGUGCUGAGGCUUGUGCAGGGGCGGAAAGGUGCCUUUGGGUGGUGGAGAGCAAUGGUGAUGUCCACACAGGGAUACCGCUGUGGGAGGAGAGAGCCUGGAAAGUCAACAGUCACAGCACGUCCACGGAAAGUCCUUAGGAGUCAGGGCCAGUCACGGCUGGAGUUGGCCACUUCACAUGAAUCCAGCUAAGCCACAAGGUUCUGGGGACUUGUCGGUGGGACGCGCCCAUGCUGGGGCUCGUGAAG